GUGCUCACUUCAGCAGCACACAUACUAAAAUUGGAACACUACAGAGUAGAUUGGCAUGGCCCCUGUGCAAGAUGACAUACAAAUUCAUGAAGUGGUCCAUGUUAAA
ensembl:snRNA U6 U6 spliceosomal RNA